rnacentral:piRNA from 1 species
UGAGGACUGCAGAUACAGGUUAAUUUC